UGCCAUGUCACUGCCUUGCUGUCUCUCUCUCUCAGAUCACUGGCUCCAAGGGAAGCCGACUGCCAUGUUCUGAGGGCACUCAAGCAGCCUACGGAGAGGCUCAAGUUGUAAGAAAUUGCAGUGUCUGGCCAGCGGCUGGUGAGAAGCGGUAGGUUGCCUAUUACCAUGUGAGUGAGUUUGGAAAUGAGUCUUCAGUGUUUGGAAAUGAUGACUACAGCCCUGGCGACAGCUGGACUCACCCUCAUGGGAGACUCUGGGCCAAAACCAACCAGAAAACUUCCCCCCGGAUUCCCAAACCACGGAAACUGUGAGAUAAUACAUGCUUGUUGUUUUAAGUUGCUAAGUUUGGGGGUGAUUUCUCACACAGCAAUAGAUAAAUUAAUACUCCGUCUUUCGUUUAGAAAUAACUGAGUUUUAACUGCAGUUUUAGCUAACGUUUAAUGAGUUCAAAGGAAUUUUACCUGGGAAAACUGUUCUAAGGCCUGAGGAUUGUCUGUCUUUCUUAAAGUUGGUUUAUACAGGGGCAGUGUGGUUAUAAUCUUAUGUCCUGUCACUCUUCAGGCACUAGAAAGACAGAUGUAUCUGCUACCUUGUGUUAAAUUAAUAAAAUGUAUGAAGUCCUGAAGAAAUAACCCCACUUUCACAUAUUCAGAUACAUUGAGAAAAACCUCUAAUACAGAUUGGGCAGAAUAAAAAAUUGGGAAUUACUUUAAUUUCUAACUUUUAACUCAUAUUGUCAAGAAAAUUAAACUUUAAACAUUAAUUUCUGAAUCAGUAGGUGUGGCCUUGAGCUCCCCCUGAGAAUCUGAGUGCAGACGAGGACUUCUAUUGAAGCUUUCUGGCAUUUUAUUAUUGCAGCACUUAUAUAUUAUGUCUCUUAAUAUUGUUAUUACAUCUCAUUGCAGAACCAGGGAUAUGUUACCUCAGAAAGCAUGGUUGGUUGGACAUAAUGUGGGAUGGGAAACAGAAUAGCAAAUAAACGUUCCACUUUAAAUAGAGUAGCCCUGGAGUAGAUUAAUUAACGGAGCAAAAGACUCAUUCUGGAGCUUUUUCAGGGUAAAAUGUAUCUUUCCCACGAGUGGUCCCAAGAGCAUUCCAAAGGACCCAUGAUUCAUCUUUGAGAGAGAGGUAAGGAAUGGUCAUAGGAACACGAUCUCCCAGGCGCAGAGACCCCUGCCUAACCACACGUAGGCUCAGGAGCUAAGCCAGUGAGGAACAAAACACAACACAGCAGAGCCGGGCAGAGCGCACCCGGGGAUGCUGAGGGGGAGUGCCAACGCUUUCCUCCUCUGAAGGCUGCUCUAUUGAUGUUACUGCAAAACCCGCUCCUUCUCUGCCCCUUUACUCUGCCCUGAGCAGGUGGUGAUUUAUCUGACUGAUAACUUUCAAAAGAAAGAACUGGGCAUGCAGAGCCAGCCCAGUCGUUUUCCCUCUUGAGAGCUCUCGACUCCCGGCUGCCAAUGUUCUCCAUCGCUCCUGGCUGCAGGCUCUCCCCCAAAACCAGUGCCCUCACACAUGCCAUGACUGGGUGGGUAAGGCUGACGAAUCUGGGGUUCAUUUGCCAGGCCCAUUGGCCCUUACAACUAAGCCUUCAUCAGUUUUUUUUUUUUAAGCAACAGUUUGAUUUUCCAUAUAUUUUACUCUUCAUCUUAUUCCUCAAUUUGUUUUGAAUCUGACAAGGAAGAAGGGGGUUAUAUCCCCACCAGGGAAACCAACACUUGUGUCAAAAUUCUAGUAAGGGAAAGGAUUUGGUCUGAAAUGUUCAAAGGUAAUGAUACAAAAUGUCCUUUGGAUUGUAUGUUUUUAUCGCAGUCGACCUAAAUAUGAUUCAGGUGUCCACAGGAUGCCCCUUUGGAAUAUAUAUUUUCUUUGUUUAUGUAACAACAAAUAACAUAGAAAAUGGUAUAAUUAACAGUCAUAUUUAUCCUGUGCUCAAAACUGGAGUUUUGGAGCCAGGCACAUAUGACUUCUAAUCCCAGGUCUGGCAAAUCACAUAACCUCAUUGAGGCCAUUUUUUAAAUUUGUGUCUUCAUGUUCAUCUGUACAAUAAGGAGUAGGAGUUACUCUGGAGGGUUAAUGCAAUGAUUAAAUGAGAUAAUAUAUGCAAAGUCAAGCACAACACAGCGUCUGAUAUACAGUGGGCACCCAACGUAUGGGAGCUGUGGCUAUUAGAUCAUAAAUUCUAUUUUGCUUUGCUCUAUAAUAAUUCACCAAGUACAAAAUCUCAAACCAGUGGAUUUUUCCAUCAUAAGGAAAUUUUCUGAAACUGUAAUUUCCUUAAGAUAGUCUUAUUAUCACAAACAAUUGUUCUGUUAAGCUUGCAAUUAGUAAUAUGCUACUUUAAGCAAAUGUUAGGUUAUCAUCUCUCCUUCUGCUCUAAAUUCAUAAUGUGCCAUUUUAAGGUAAUUCAAGCGUUCUGUCAGCUUUCACCACUUAAUUUGUAUGAAUCUAGGGGCAAACUGAGGUCAAGGAAUAAAGGUCCCUAUGGAUAUGGCUGUAAAAAAUCUUUUAAUACUUUAGUAUUAGAUUUGCUUGUAGAAUGUCCAUGGUACAAUUUAAUAAAUUCUGGUUUUGCUGCCUUAGUAAACAGUUUCUAAUAUCAGUCCAUAAGGAAUUUUUUGGAUAAAUUCAUUUCUUGGUUAAAUUAUCCCAUUAGCUGCACAGUCCACCGUUGCGAGACUCUGCUGUGAACAUGAGACUUUAAUAACUUUGAGUGUCUAAAAUUGAUCUCUGUCCCAGGAUAUGGAUUUACUGCUGCCAAAAAGCUAUAAAAGACGCCUUACCUCAUAUCUUGUGCACAGGGGGAAUCUUUUAGGCUCAGCUUUCCAAACUGGCUCAGAGAUGCUCCGUAAGAUACUUUCCCUGAGCGCCUGUGUGUGCACUGGCUGAUUUUAUAGACUUAAAUUUUUCCACAUUUCCUAGCUUCCAGCUUACUCUCUCUCCCCUCAGAUCCCCAUCUCCCUUCGUUCUGUGCCCCAAAUCCUCCAGCAACUCAAGCCACCCCACAACUUUUACCCAGUUCCCCAGGACCACACUCAACAUAGGGGAGGAAUGGCUUGUAGAAACCAUACAAGCAGUUACUUAAUGAAACAAGAUUGUAUUUCUAGCAAUAUAAGUUCAAUAUAAUGCCAUUAAAAAUGAUAAUAGUAUUCAAACACAGACUCCAUUUUAUGGGAGUGGCUUACCUGUGCUUAUAUAUAUAUUUUUUUAAUUUCAAAAACUAUUGUUACCUGGAAUAAAACAAUAGUUAAAUGUAUAGAUUUAGGAGAUGAACAUUCCCCUCUUAAAGAAGGAAAACCAGACAAAAGAUUUCCUCAUUAAACAUUAAAGAGACUAUAUAAAAGGCAACACACCUGAAUACUAUAGUCUUAACACAUCUUCAACUCUUUUGGUUACUAUAACACAGAACAGAUUUUAUACUUCCCUAGCAAAGUAAAUAAAAUCUUUUCAAACAUUGAGAACAACUCAUUCCCAGAGAUAAGCUUAUUCAUUGAUGGGAACUGGCUAUAUAAUUAUAUCUACUUCUAAGUUCUUUUCAAAAUUUUUAAAAAAUAUACCUGGUGAUUCCAAGUAUAUCAGAGGGUGGUUUAGAGUGAGUCCUGGGUCCAUCCUUGCCUUUCUGCUUAAUAACUGUAUGAUCACAGACAACUUUUCAGUUUCCUCAUUACUGAAAGAGAAUUAAAAAUAGUUUCUACCUCUAGCCGCAUCAGGUUGCUGUGAAAAUUAAAUGAGAAAAUGGGUAGUGUAAUUAGUACAGUACCUGGAAUAUAGUAAAUGCUCAAUAAACGUUAGCUCUUAUCAUCAGAGAAAGGGAAUGUAUACUUAUUUGUAAGAGUUUAUCUAAUUUACUCAUGUAUUGGCUAUAUUGAAACAGAAUUUUUUCUCAGUUUAAUUUCCUUUGAACACAGUUGUUCUACAAGCUCAAACAUGUACACGGAAUUCUUCCUGACAUUUCAUUACUCUUACAUUCCUUGGGCUAACAGCAGGCUUUUAAUCUCAGCCAGAUUUUCACGCCUUGAUCAUCUUAAAAUAUUUGCUGAAACUAGUAUUCAAAGAAAGUAAUGUAGUGACAUUAACAUGCUUUAGAUAGAGGUUUUCAUUCCACACAGUAUGGAGAAAAAAAUUUGAUUGGACCAUUUUCAACCUAAGGCAAAUUUGGAACUAUAUCGAUUUAUUUUGGAGCUCCCUAAAUAGCUUCCUUGAUAACAAAUUUGUGCUUAACUUUUAAAGUUAAUCAAAGCAAUAUCAUUUUCCUAGUAGUACUUAAUUUUUUUUCUACUUUUUUUUUUUCUGUUCAAGAUCUUGGGUCUCACAGGAAAACAAAAACCAAACCAAACCAAACCAAACAAACAAAAAACCAAACAAACAAAAACUUCUUCCAUUUCAACCAAGUACUCUUUAUUCCCUGUGGACUAGACAUCUCAUUUUAACUUCCAUAUUUUUCUUCUCUGUUAUCUUCAUACUAGAACCAUUUAAUGUCAUAAAAGAUGUCCUUUAUAUGUACUUUCCUUUCAAUUGUUAAACAAACCCACCAUUCUUGUCACUGUUCUCAGAAGAUUCACGCACAAGUCUGUUAUUUCACUUCCGAGGAGACAUGAAUCAUACCAUGAAAUACUGUCACUGACAUUUUAAUCUUGGCUAUGGGAGAAGUUGAUCUUUUCCUCUUAGAUUUUCUCCUCCUUGGGUUCUUCUUCAAUCUUCUAGUUAAUUCUCCAAUUAAUCUGCAGUGGAAAAUCAUUGCUAUUGCUUUAUAUUUCUAGAGUACGUUAUUUAAAUCUCUAGUUAUGCUGCUAACGCAUAUGACUUGGUAUUAUAGUUGGCUUGAUUCAAGUUCACCUGCCCAUCAGAUUACAGUCCCCGUCAGUGUAGGUGCAUUGCUAGAAUCAUUACAUUUCUUACAGCCCUUGCACAUAAUUUGAAUAUAAUAGGCACUUAUCAAAUGUUAACUGAAUUGAAUAUCAUCUCUGAAAUGAAUAUUACUGAUUCAGCCACUUAUAUUUCUUGGUCACAUACUACAUGCCAACCACUCUGCAGUCUAAUUGUGGCCCUAUACAGCUAGUGCUCUAACAGUAGUACAUUAUGUUGCUCUUUCUUGAAUCUCAUCCUCUUUUCGCCGAAAAGUAUUGUUAUCCUUUCUUCUCAAAAAAGGAAAAAAGUGACUCGGAGAGGCUGUGCAAGGCACAGUGGCAAAGUUGAAUAAUGAAUGAACUUGAUUUUUAUACACACCUCUAUUCAAGUGUUCUAGAUGAUAAAUUUGGCAACCUGAACACUUUGUAUACAUUUGUACUAGUUGUAACAUUUUGAAGCCAAAGGGUAUCAGGUUACUGGUUACCCAGUUUUACCUUUGAAUUUUUCAGGUGUAAUAUUAUUAGAAUUUAUUUCUUAAGAAUUUUUGAAUAAUGUGACUAAGCAAGGAGAAUUUGAAAUAAAUUUCUUUCACCUUGUAUAUUGUUUAUCCUACUUAAAAUAAAAGCAUAUUAGAAACUUGACCAACUAAUGCAAAAUCUGGAUGCAGGUAAGGAAACUUCCCUUCAAAAUGGCAGAAACCAAUGUCAUAACACAAUGGAUGCACAUAGCUCCCAUAGAUAAGCCCCUACUAUACAAAAUGCUGUGUACUAAUUUAUCUACAGCCGAAAUGUUGGUUUUCCCUCAUGAAAAUACUGCUCCCAAAUUCCACUCUUUCUGAAAAACAAUUAAGCUGUCAAGUUUAAAGUUUUUCGUUCAUAAUUUAGACUGUAUCCUGCCAUUGAUAUUUAUUUUAAUCUCCUAUUGAUUUCUGUGGGAAUUCUUGUAGAAUUAAGGCAGGAUAUAGCCUCAAAGGAAUUUCUGCUAAGAAGGUUCCCACUUUCAUCUCUUUGUGUUGGAUUUUUAUUAAGUUUAGGUCAUGACGUUGUAUAUUUAAAAAUAGGCCUACAGGCUAAAGCUAUGAUAAAGUCUUCUAUUUUUGUAUUUAGGCUGAAAGGUCAAUGAGAAGUCUCACAGGGAAGAACAGUGUUAUAAAUUAUUUUUAACAUGUUUUGGUCCAGUUUCUAAAAAAAUCAAAAAGCAUUUAUAUUAUUUUAAAAUGUCUUUUUCACUUUAUAUAUCCCCAAAUGUCUAUCUCCCAUGAGAUUUCUUUUUAAAAUACCCAUUCAAACCAUGUUUAAAACAUUUUAAAACACUAGAUAUAAUAUUAGACAGUCAUUUAAAAUUAUAGUAAUGAUGACAUAGAAUUAUGGAUCUUGGAAAUUCUUUGGAAUGAGGUUAAGUUUGAUAAAAGGCAAAGUAGAAAAUUACAUAUAUAAAUAUUUAUAGUAAUGUAAAAAUGCACAUAAAGAUGGGUAGAUCAUGGGAAUUUUAAAUUUGUGUUAUAAUUAGUGGAUGUUAUGCCUUAUCAGAUUUCCUAAUGUUUUGUAUUUCAGGUUGUAAUAUUAAAAUUCAAAUGCAAACAAAUAACAUAACUUACCUUUUAAAUUCAUCAGAUUCAUAUGAACUUAAAGUCAUGACAAAAACUGAAGUGAAUAAGAGCAAGGUUAUUAAGAAUAUGCUGGUAUUUCAGUUUUUAAAUUAGUGGUCCUUGGAUCACUUCUAGAGCACCUAGGGGCACAUAUUGUCACCUGGUCAUCUUUUUUUUAAAUUUGCUGGUGUCAUGAAAAUCUCUUAGAAGUUAUGGAAUAACAAUAAAAUUUGACCAAGACAAUUUCUGAUGCUGCUCUGCCCACCUGAUAGAUAGGGUUAUUGUCUGGACCAAAUGAGAGAAUGUUUAUGUAAGUACUUUUAAAAGUACAUGUGAAAAGCAGCAUAAUAAUUUUCAUCAUUACUCUGAAUACCUUCCAGAUUAGAUCUCUAAUUUGAUCUCAGUUAUUUAAUAAAGAAAUGUCAUUAAAUGAAAAAAAAUUUGAAGUUUUAUUGUAAUGUGGACUCACAUUGUUCUCUGUCCCUAAGGAAGACACUGAUGCUAAAAUGAACUAUUAUUUUAAAGACACUCGUCUUGGGAAACUCUCCUGCUGAGGAGGAAAUGCCCUGGUUCCAUUAUGAAAAUAGCAAAUUAACCUCAUCACUGUAUUUAACUACAGUAGUUCCCCUUUAUCCGUGGGGGACACCGCCCAAGACCCCCCAGCAGAUGCCUAAAACGGCAGGAGUACCAAACACUAUAUAUGUCUCUUCCUAUACACACAUACCUAUGAUAAAGUUUACUUUAUAAGUUAGGCAUAGUAAGAGGUUAACAGCAAUAAUAGUAAAAUUGAACAAUUAUAAUAAUAUACUGUAAUAAAAUGUUGUGCAUAUGGUAUCUCUCUCAAAAUAUCUUAUUGUGUGAACUGAACGCCUUUUCCAUCUGAAGUAUGCACUUAUCACACACACACAUUUGAAGUCUGAGGCUCGACAGCAAAACUAGCACGAGUUUCUCUCACCUUCUUCACAAUUUCACGGAUGGAGGGCUCGUUCUUAUCGUAGGUCUCAGCAACCUCAGCAUAGGAUUUCUUUCCUUCCUUAUUAAGUGGAGAACUUUCCCCUUUUUACUUAAAGGAAGGACUGUCAGGCUUCUCUCGGGCAUCUCUGAAUUGCCAGCAUCACCCCUCUUAUUUCGGGGUCACUGCUCAGGAAGAUAAGGGUCCCCGGAACGCAAGUACCGCGAUAUUAAGAUCGUGGCUCUGAUAACCCAGGGGCCAAUGAGUGACUAGGGGCGGGGUUCUCUGGGCAAAGGAGUGGUUCCCGCGUGGCCCCGGCAGCUGACCUCGCGAGACUUCAUCCCGGUACUCAGAAUGGCUCGCGGUUUAAAACUUCCCGCUGCGGAAACCCCGGGAAGCGAACACUGCGGAUACGGAGGGACUGCUGUACCUGAAUUGGCGGUAAGAGUGUGAAUGAAGUUGAGCUGAGUCGCUCACAUCCUUUCUCCAUACAGAAUUCAGUUUGGGGAGUGUGGUCGGCCGACUGCCUUUGAGCCAGGGUCACACUUUUCCCAGAAGGCUCGUGGACGGUGGGUGCCCAGCAAGGCUGGGGCACAGAGGCCUGUUCCCUUCCGCCCAGCUCGGAGCCUCUACCGCGCAGACCUCGCUCUGGAGCGCCCCGCGGGCUGGCAGACAUUGUGUCCGAUCUGCCUCCUCUGCAUCGUGGCCUGGCCGCUCUGAUUGCGCAAUCCCGAUUCCUCUUUUUCUCCUUCACAAAAUUCCUCUGCAGUCCUGCCUCCACGCCAGUGUCUGCUUCCCAGAGAACGCAGCUGACUCCCAGAGUAGCUCAAGAAAGCCAGCAGCAAAGACAUGGUCCCACGACUGGCUCACUGGCCACCAUUUGGGACUGAGGACACCAGCCCGAGCGCUCCGUGACCCAGGAGGAGCCCCAGCUGCUGGAAAGUUGCUGGUGGCGACUUGGGAGCCUCUUCUUGCAAAGGAAAUGUCAUGACUGAUGGAAGCAGUGCACAGGACAGUGGAUUUAGUGGUUGUCAUUAAGUCAUGUCACUGUCCUUUCUAAUGAAAAGCUAAUAGUAUUGAACAAAUAAUUGAAAAUCAAAUGUGAAAACCAGAGGGCCUCCUUGGUAGCCUAAAAGAGGCCAGUUUCCUCUCUCGGGAGAAGAGAAAAAAGCUGAAAACAAAACUAAGGAUUUAGACCAUAGUCACUGAUCUUCAAAGACAGUUGAAGGUUCAGCUGAAGCAGGUCUGUUACACCAAGCUCAGGGCCCUGAGAUCAGGGUAUCUGGGUAGAUGCCUCUUGAGAUUUUGAUUCCCCAGAUUUUUUUUGUUAUUAUUAUUCCUACACCUUAUUUGUCAGAGCACUUUUAGGUUCACAGCAAAAUUGAGUAGAAAGUACAGAGCUUCCACAUACGCUCAGCUCCCUGCUCGGGCACCCAGACUCUUUUGAAUGCUCUGAGCCUGCAGAGGUGACCCUCUCCUGCGAAGAACGGGCCCUGCUCCCACGGAGGGGGCCAGUGCAGCGCUCUCCACCACAAGCCUACAGGGGUUCUCUCAGGAUGUGCCCCAUCCCUUCUGUGGCUGCCAGGCCUAUAGGCGUGGUUGAGUCACAGCAUCACCCAGACGGGGACUUAUCAGACCUGCUAGAGGAAUAAGGGCCAAGGCCACAGAGGAACCACAGUCAUGUAGGAUGGCAGGAGACAGGGAGUCCUUGUGGGAUUGCAGUGGGAGGUUUCCUGAUCAAGGGGACUGGAAAAUAAGAUAUGACCAGGGAGAGUUUAUUGACCUGGAGCAUUCUCUUGUGAUAUGGGACUUAACACCCUGCCAAGAACCGCAGGGGAGGAUGCAGAGGUGGCCCCUAGCAGCCUGGAGAAAGCAGUGAUCCAUGUUGAACAGAACUGAAAUUCCUGAAUUGCUAUGGCAGAUUGUAGAGAACUGAUUAAAAGGCUCAGAGAAGUGGGCCUGCUAGAGUGGUAAUAUUUUUGUGAGGCCAGAAAAUCAUUCAGGUUUUUUUUCCUUCCACAGGAAGGCUCUGGACACUCAGAGGCUCACGAAUUAACCGGUUAAGAGGACAUCAGCUUCACUAGGAGUCAGUGGUGACUGUCGUGUGCAGACCAGGACUGAGGCUAGAAUUCUGCAUGGGACCUGGCUUCUGACAAACAGACCUAUUACAGGAGACCUAGAGGGAGGUGCCUGAGAAGAUGAGGCUGACCUCAGACCUCACUGCACGGACAUCCCAGUACCUGAGACACCGAGAAGGAAGCCUUUCGGCUAACAGGACACACAGAAACUUUGUCAAACUCUGUUGAAUCAUGACCCACUCUAACUCCUCAUAUUAUGUCUCAUCAGAGAAGGGAACGACAUGGGAAGCUGAUUUUGACACUUUGAUGUUCUUUAGCCAUGAGUCUCCCUUUAUUUCUACCAAAGGGCCAGAAAUAACAACUCCUUCAGGACUUUCAGUGCUCAAGAUCCCUGCUGUUUUCCUUAGAAUCAGAAUCAAAAGGCAUCAUUUGGCACGUAACCCAUGUAUAAUAUAAGCUAAUCCAUAAACAUGACAGCAUAAAUGAACCUGAGAUCCUACUGUCCUCUCCAUCACUGAUGGUUUCAGUAGGAUUUACUAUUCCACGUCCUCUCUUUUUCUGUUAAAUUGGGCAGAAACACCAGAUCAGAAUGAACAUUUUGGCACUGCUUACUUAGAAAUAUUUCAUGUGAAUUAAAAUUUUAGUACCGAAAUGAAUCAGAACACUGAUCGACUGUGGCACAUGGGAAUAUUUGCACACAUCGUGCAGGUGCAUCUUAAAUUGAAAUGCUCUUUGUUAAAACAGGCUGAUGACUCUAUCCUAAAGCAGUGGAAUCGGGUAAAAAUAAUGUGCAUCCUAAAUGGGAAUAAAUCAUGUAGGUAAAAUGUGGAGCUAGAUGGGAUAUACAAGAUUUACAUAGUACGUCUUUUUUUCUGUCAUUGUUUAUAAAUUAUCCAAGUUCAUUACAGAACUUGGUGGUUCAGAAAGACACCAGGGAGGAAGGGGGAAGGAAGCAGCUGGGAGAUCUAAUCCAUGUGAUGAAAAGGAAAGGCAAUUAAUGAGGAGAAAAGAACUCGGGAGAGAAAAGCUCAUACGGCAAGAUAAAAAGUAUAAGAGAGCAAGUAGUAGGCAGUAUAGAGAAAAUAUAGUACUUAAUUUUCAA